GGUUCAUUAGUGUAGCGGUUAUCACUUCGGAUUCUGAUCGGUUGAAAUACCUACAGACCUUCCGACAACCCCGGUUCGAAUCCGGGAUGGACCU